rnacentral:rRNA from 1 species
GACGAACGCUGGCGGCGUGCUUAACACAUGCAAGUCGAACGGAAAGGCCUCUUUCGGGGGGUACUUGAGUGGCGAACGGGUGAGUAACACGUGAGUAACCUGCCCUUGACUUUGGGAUAACUUCAGGAAACUGGGGCUAAUACCGGAUAGGAGCUCCUGCUGCAUGGUGGGGGUUGGAAAGUUUCGGCGGUUGGGGAUGGACUCGCGGCUUAUCAGCUUGUUGGUGGGGUAGUGGCUUACCAAGGCUUUGACGGGUAGCCGGCCUGAGAGGGUGACCGGCCACAUUGGGACUGAGAUACGACCCAGACUCCUACGGGAGGCAGCAGUGGGGAAUAUUGCACAAUGGGUGGAAGCCUGAUGCAGCAACGCCGUGUGCGGGAUGACGGCCUUCGGGUUGUAAACCGCUUUCGCUCAUGACGAAGCUUUGUGUGACGGUAGUGGGUAAAGAAGCACCGGCUAACUACGUG